rnacentral:rRNA from 1 species
UACGAAGGGGGCAAGCGUUGUUCGGAAUUACUGGGCGUAAAGGGCGCGUAGGCGGUGCACUAAGUCAGGCGUGAAAGCCCUGGGCUCAACCCGGGAAUUGCGCUUGAUACUGGUGCGCUUGAAUCCAGGAGAGGUUGGUGGAAUUCCCAGUGUAGAGGUGAAAUUCGUAGAGAUUGGGAAGAAUACCGGUGGCGAAGGCGGCCAACUGGACUGGUAUUGACGCUGAGGCGCGAAAGCGUGGGGAGCAAACGGG